rnacentral:rRNA from 1 species
GACGAACGCUGGCGGCGUGCCUAAUACAUGCAAGUCGAACGCAGUGGGGACGGGUGAGUAACACGUGGGUAACCUCCCAUCAGAGGGGAUAACACUUGGAAACAGGUGCUAAACCGAUAUCGAUGGAUGGACCCGCGGUGCAUUAGCUAGUUGGUGAGGUAACGGCUCACCAAGGCCACGAUGCAUAGCCGGCCUGAGAGGGUGAUCGGCCACACUGGGACUGAGACACGGCCCAGACUCCUACGGGAGGCAGCAGUGGGGAAUCUUCGGCAAUGGACGAAAGUCUGACCGAGCAACGCCGCGUGAGUGAAGAAGGUUUUCGGAUCGUAAAGCUCUGUUGUUAGAGAAGCGGUAUCAAACCAAAAAGCAACGGCUAACUACGUGCCAGCAGCCGCGAUAAUUC